rnacentral:tRNA from 1 species
GUCUCGGUAGUCUAAAGGCUCAGGACGCUCGCACGGAAUGCAAGAGAUCCGGUUCGACUCCCGGCCGAGGCA